GCCCCCCUCUUUCUUCGUGCUUAACACAUGCAAGUCGAACGGAAAGGCCCUGCUUUUGUGGGGUGCUCGAGUGGCGAACGGGUGAGUAACACGUGAGUAACCUGCCCUUGACUUUGGGAUAACUUCAGGAAACUGGGGCUAAUACCGGAUAGGAGCUCCUGCUGCAUGGUGGGGGUUGGAAAGUUUCGGCGGUUGGGGAUGGACUCGCGGCUUAUCAGCUUGUUGGUGGGGUAGUGGCUUACCAAGGCUUUGACGGGUAGCCGGCCUGAGAGGGUGACCGGCCACAUUGGGACUGAGAUACGGCCCAGACUCCUACGGGAGGCAGCAGUGGGGAAUAUUGCACAAUGGGCGGAAGCCUGAUGCAGCAACGCCGCGUGCGGGAUGACGGCCUUCGGGUUGUAAACCGCUUUCGCCUGUGACGAAGCGUGAGUGACGGUAAUGGGUAAAGAAGCACCGGCUAACUACGUG
rnacentral:rRNA from 1 species